GUCCAUUUUUGGAAUCACAGACUCCCCUGAAAUACAAUAACUCAAUUCUAGAAUAUAGUUAAAUGGUCUGAGACCCCCAUCACAAAGUCCUGGGAUUCUAGAAUUCACAGAGUCAUAGAAUGGACUCCAGGACUUGAGAAUUCCAGAUUGAAACUCUGCAGUCUUCAAAUGUAAUCCGAGAAUUUCUGGUAGUAGGGCCUAGGAAUCUUGAAAAGGAAGCCCAGAAUUUCAGAAGAGAGGUUUGUUAUUGGAUCAUUGGGAGAAUCUGGCGAAAACAGCUGGCUUCCUUUCACUGGCUCAUUUUGCAGUGAUAAAAAGGCAAGCGGUGCUUGUGUGUGCUCAGAGCCGAGGGGCAGGGUGAGGGGCCAGGAUGGCGGUGGGAAAAGAGAUCCCCGUGAGUGUUGCUAGGCACCAGCACCAUGGAAGGAGAGCACAAUGGAGCUGGCCUGGCUGGGGAACCAGAAAUGCCUAGCUGCAGGGAUUCAGCAUGAAGCUGGCCAGCUUGCAGGGCUUGGACCCAGAAAUGAGCCCAGGUCCCCAGAUGCCCUACCUUGGGCCAACGAGCCCUGCUGCUAUCUUGCUCCAACCAGCCAGAGGCUCAGAGGCAAAACAGCUGUUGGGAUCCAAGCAGCAGGCAGGAAGAUGGAGUUCUAGCAGGCAGCUGGGAGGAGUGAGGCUGGGACGCAAGAACACGGGUUUAUGUCCCUGGCUGUGCCACGCAUGACCUUGUGUAAGUCACUCCUUUCUUAAGUCUCAAUGUGCCUAUCCAUAAAACAGCCAGGCCAAAUAUAGAUGCGGAAGGAUUGAAGUCAAAG
rnacentral:lncRNA from 13 species